rnacentral:lncRNA from 1 species
CUUUAUAAGGCUAAGUUUCCUAGCACAAGUUCUCUUUGCCUGCUGCAAUCCAUGUAAGAUGUGACUUGUUCCUCCUUGCCUUCUGCCAUGAUUGUGAGGCCUCCACAGCCAUGCGGAACUGUUGAAAUACACACUACCUGAAGCUGGAUAACUCAUGAACUCUGUUGACAAUUAUAUUCUUUGUCUUUUUAAUUAACUCAUUUGGAGUUGGUGUCCUGAGGACCUAAGCCUAAGAAUCUUCAAGAUGGAAGAGUAGAGUGAACAAUGAAUGAGCCAGAGGGCUCUUGUCCUCUGUGUGCAGCUCUGGGCAGCCAGCAGGUGGAUAUGGGACUUGGCCUGCUGGAGGGGCCCUGGCAAGAGGAGCUGGCAGGAGCAGAUGGCAAAGGUGGAGUCUCGCACUGUCAUCCUGGCUGGAAUGCAGUGGUGCAAGCCGACUCACUGCAACCUCUGCCUCUUGGGUUCAAGUGAUUCUCCUGCUUCAGCCUCCUGAUUUGCUGGGAUUGCAGAGCAAACCAGUGAAAAAAUGGCCUUCGCACUCCUGAGAGACCUUUCACCGGGCUUUCUACUUUUGAAUUCUCUCCAUAGCUGGUUUCCUCUUAGGCCUCGAUAGAGCAGUCCCUGAAUCACACAGGUAUGCUGACUACGUCUUUUCCUGGUACAAACCAUCAUGGGGGAAACACACAGCAAGAAGCAUCUUCAGGUCACAAGAUAGACUUUGGGAAUCACCCAACUGAUGGAAAGAACCAGGAAAGGGGUCAGGAUCUGCACCUUGGCAAACUUUGAAGAACACCCAAUUUGAUGAAUGAAAACUCCUCACUUGUGCUCUGGUGGUGUUUUAGGACAAUGGGCCCCUCCUGGGUAAUAGUUAUUGAUGCAGUCUCUAUCAGUAACCACCCCAAGUUUGAGAUCCUUUACAAGGGAAGGUCAUAUUUCCAAAACUGAAACCUUGACCAAGUAUCCCAGAGAGAUAGGAAGGAGAUACCACUCAAGUGUGUCAUGGGCCUGUCCCAGGGCCUGGGAGUCAGCAGUUGGUGGCCUGGGAUCCAAGGGUUAACAGCAUGACCUGUUCUGGCUGGCACCAGUCACAUGGUGUGCCCAACCUCACUGUUAUUAUCUGUUUCGGGUGAGUCACUGAGAACACAGACAGGAAAGACCCAUGAACUUAGCUAGUUUCGCCCCAGGGUGUGAGACUCCACACAACUGAGUCUGGGCCACUGGCAGUGACUCAUGGCGGGCCUCAUGGGAUUGCUGACGCAAGGUUGGAAGGGCACGUGGUUCUUCCCCCCACCGCUGGGUAGAAUCCCCGCCAAAACAUCCAGGCUGGAAAUCCAUCUUGGUCCUUGGGGAGAGAGAAAAUAAAAAAGAAUCAUUUCUGAUACUAUAGCAAAGUAUACAGGUGGAUUUGGCAGGUCCAACUGACGAGUCUUCCACAUUCUGAAAGAAUUGGCUUUCUCACAAUGUUAGAGUCUCUAGGAGUACUGGGGAGUGCAAAUUCAACUGUUAUAACUGGCAUAUGCAGAGAAAACGGCCCUCCUAUCUCUUUUCUAUGACUUGUGAUGUCUUCCUCCUACUCCUGACCAUCCUCUUUGGGCCCCUGGGGGUUCCUGGCUGAUUUAGCCUCACCUGAGCUCUUGGUGUCACUAGAGACAAUCAGUGUGGCUGUGAGUCCCAUUCAUUCACUUCCUGACCAGGCUAUCACUCUGCCCUGUUCUACCUUUGCUGUUGGAGUUCAGGACAGGCUGCUCCAAAAUAUGGCCCCUUGGCAUUUUAGAAAACAGCAGAAGCAGUAAGGACACUCUCUGACCUCCUCUUGCCCUUCUCCCCUAAAGCAGACUAUCAAACCUAGACAGAAUUUUCUGACCACCUGAAAGAGACCACAAGAUCCUCAUUCAAGAGGUGCCUUCAGGCCGGGUGCAGUGGCUCAUGCCUGUAAUCCCAGCGCUUUGGGAGGCCGAGGUGGGCAGAUCAUGAGGUCAGGAGAUCGAGACCAUCCUGGCUAACAAGGUGAAACCCCUGUCUCUACUAAAAACACAAAAAAUUAGCCAGGCGUGGUGGCACACACCUGUAGUCCCAGCUACUUGGGAGGCUGAGGCAGGAGAAUCACUUGAACCCGGGAGGCAGAGGUUGAAGUGAGCUGAGAUCACACCACUGCACUCCAGCCUGGGUGACAGAAAGAGACUCAGUCUCAAAAAAAAAAAAAGGUGCCAUCUCUAUACCUAGAGGAAAGGAACAUCCUUAUCCUCAAAGACACAGAGGCCAGGAAGAAUCUGAACAAGGAGGUCUUGCUAAGUUCCCCCAAGGUUGUUACCAUCAGAUCACACCUUUUUGUCCUCCAAUCAUAUUUCUCCAUGACUAUCCACUCUUCAUCAACCCAAGCAUAAAAAUAAACAAGCUUCUCUCUUUCUUUGGGUCUUCGUUUCCAAAGGCUUCCAUCCACAUAAAACUUACAUUAAUACAUUUGUAUACCUUUCUCUUGUAAAUCUGUCUUUCGUAAGGGGCACCUUACCCAUGAACCUAGCGAUGGAUGUGCAAAGAAAAGGAACCUUUCCUCCCCUCCACCGGUGAGCUGGACUCUCAGCCACAUUUAGGUCCUGACUCAGGCACACAGGGACCCAGGGAACCUCACGAGAGUUAAAUCUCAAGAACUCCCAUUCUGCUGCCCACCUGCUAUACACAAAUGGGGUCUCAAAAUGGGGAACAAAGUCAAGAGCCACUAUCUGCCCUUGGUGUUUCUUUUAUUUAUCAUCAUUUUCUCUUCUUGAUGAAUUUCUAUUGCCAUUCAUUCAAAAGACCUAUUAAGUACCUGCUAUUUGACAGGCUUAACUGUGACCUCAUCCAGGAAGUUUUCCAAAAACUUCCUGAAAUGUCUCUUCCUGCUCUGUCUUUCCAGGGCACUUUAUUCCUACCUCCUAUUCUGCCUCUCACAUAUAUUGCAGGGAUCUGUCACUCCCCUGUUCUGUAGACCUCCCAUGUUCCUGCUCGAAAGGAGAAGCAGUCUUAUUCAGCUUCUCGCCACCAGCGCUUGACACUCUGAAUGUCUGUUGAUAAAAAAUGAAUAACGAAAGGAAACAGAGGCGCAAACUUAAGUAUAGAAACUCUUCAUACUCAGAGAGGCAGCAUGGUUUUGUGGUUCAGGGCACAGGCUCUGAAGUCAGACCGCCUUGGUUUUAAUCCUGGCUGUAAGAUUUAGCAGGAGUAUGAGCCUAGGCAAGUUAUUUAACUGCCGUGUGCCUCACCUUCCACAUUUGAAAAGCGGCAAUAAUAAGUACCUGCCUCAUAGUGUGCUCGUGUGGAUUAAAUAAAAUAAUCUAUAGUAAGCAUUCAGAAUAAUGACAGGUAUGUAGUAAAUGCUCAGUAAAUGUAAACUAUUACUGUUUGUUCUUCCCCAGUGGAUUUGAGUCUUUAUGGUGAAAUGCGUAUGCACUUAGAUGAACAAAUGGAUGGAUUUAGGGUGUGAUUUGAGUUCCAUUUUCAGUUAAAAACAGAGGGGAAAAGUCAAUGGAUUUUAUGCUUUGCCGUCAGACUUCCCCAGGUAGAUGGGAGAUACAUCUAAUUUGUAUUCUCUUUGCUUUACAUGGAAUCUAAUGCAACAAGAAGGAUGAAGGGGCAUAGCAAAGUGUAGCUGUGUGUAACAAAGAAAAUAUAGUUGGAGGGCAAAAUUUGUCAUCAAAGAAGGAAAAAAGUAUGCAUUUUUCUUACUGAAAAAAAAUGCAUAGUUUUUUCGUUGUUUGCUUCAGCAGUACAUAUGCUAAAAUGGGAAUGAUACAGAGAAGAUUAGCAUUGGCCCCUGUGCAAGGAUGACAUGCAAAUUAGUGAAGUGUUCCAUAUUUUAAAAAAAUCAUGAAGGUAGGAUUUGGGACCAGUUCCACAAUAUGAACUGCUAAAAACCCAUAAGAUAAAUGGUUACUUUUAGGGAGCUGGCAGCAAUCCCUGGUCUGAAAACAUGUAAUUUGAGACAAUUUAGUUAAUCUUGAAUUUGAACAAGCUCCUCAAUAAACUCUUUAAAAAGUGUCAAAUGAGCUUUCUCUAAGGAUUCCCCCAACACUCACCUUUGGUCUGGUAGCUCUCACUGGUGUCUCACCUCUCUGUUCAAUGUCACAACUUUGCUAGAAAGUAUAGUGGUGCCCCCUUAUCCAUGGGGAAUAUAUUCUAAGACACCCCAGUGGAUGCCUAAAACUGCUGAUAGUACCAAACUCUUUAUGUGCUAUGUGUUUUCCUAUACAUGUAUAUAUAUGAUAAAGUUUAGUUUAUAAAUUAGGUGUACUAAGAGAUUAACAACAAUAAACUAGAAUAGUUGUAACAAUAUACUGCAAUAAAAGCUAUGGAAAUGUGGUCUUUCUCUCUCUUUCAAAAUAUCUUGUUGUACUGUUCUGCAGGGUAGUUAAAACUGCAGAAAUCAAAACUGUGGAUAAGGAAGGACUACUGUAGUCACAGACUCUUCCAGAAACAGUCAGAUGAAGUCUUGAAAAAGUGCCCAUGAACAUGGGAACCACUUGUAGCAGAUCAUGGAGACCACAGAAAGUUAAAACACACAAAAUGCUGCCUCCAGUUCCCAGAGCACUGAAAAGAAGAGUCUCACGCUAGGUUGGGGAGUUAGGGAAAACGUGCUAAGCAAAAUGAGGCAGAAAAACACACACACACACACACACACACACACACACACACACAAACACACACACACGGGAAGGUGACCAAAAGUGCAGGGCAGCAUGAGGGGAAUUUGGAGCACACCAGGGAAGUGAAGUACAGACUUGCUCACACUCCUGCAACUCCCUCACCCUCUUUUCCUGGAUCUCUGGCUUUCCCUGGAUUUCCCGUAAUAGGAUCUUCCAUUUUCACCUCUUCUUUUACUCCCCUUCACCCUCUGUCUCAUUUACUUAUGAACUGAAACUGGCCUUCAUCGGCUGGAGACAAGAAAGAUGUUUAGCCCAGUGGUUCUCAAGGUUUGCUGUGGGGGAGUCAGAGGCUGGGCAGUCUCCAUUUGUCCUGCAGAGCCACUCACGGUCCUUCUCACCAUGCCCCAUGCCCUAGGGGGCUGCCUCCUGUGUAGCAAAACUACAGGCUCUCUUGCCUCUGGCUUCUGGUUUGCAGAAGAUUGGCAAAGUGAGGUUGGUGUCCUUAUACCCCUAUUGGGCCAUCAAGCACUGGCUGAGUCCCUCCAUGGCAAAAUUCCAAGCACAUCCUAUCUUAUGGCCCUUCCCACAGUCCCUCUGCUCCAGAUUCCAGUAACCCAUUUGCCGCGCGUGCCCCUGCAUAGCUGCACCUAGGCUGUUAACAGCGCACAGCACUUGUGACUUCUCCUUACCCCGACUACCUCUCUGAAAUGGUCCCUUUAUUAAACCCUCCUAAAAUUAUCCUAAUUUGAGUGUGUCAUCAGUUUCCUUCAGGGGCACUGACACAACAGGGAGCUUGUCUAAACUUCAGAUUCCUGGGUAUUGACUGCAGAAAUUCUGAAUAAAUAGGAGGUCCUGAGGGGAUCUACAUUUUUAGCAGGUGCCUAAUUCUGAUGCUGGUGGUCCAGGGAUGAUUUUGAGAGAGAUUUGCCUACACCUUAACUGUUACAGUGGACACAGUUCAGAUUGAGUCAAAUAGUGAGAAUAACGCAGCCCUCAUAGUUCCCAUUGUUCCAUUGUCUCUCCUGAGAAGUCCACAUUUCUGGGUGGGAUCAUUGUGAGCCAAGUUGGGAAAGGCAGGGAGAUUUCUGAACCAAGCCCUGGAAUCUGUGGGAGGGCUCUGGUAGCCAGAAAAGUAGAAUUACAGAGCAUCAGAGUAUGUGACAUAGAGUUUCUCAACACCUCAUCGAUUUAUGCUGGCACAGUUUACCUAUAGCCGAGGGCCCCUGAAGUUUAUUUGUAUUGAUUGCAACAUCACUCACAGAAUGGGGAGAUGUAAUAGAUGGCAUAUGCUCGAACAUGAAGUUGAAGAGUGGGAUCUAUGCAAGCCAGCCAUGCAUGCCACUGGUCUCCCCAAUGGUUGUUACUAACACAGUGUGAAAAGGAGGCACUUGGCCAAAGAGAAAAGAAUCAGAAAAUGAACUGGUGUUAGGGAAACAACAAGCACCAAUCAGGCAUGCAGAGAAAACCCAAAACCUACUUGCAUCUUGAAGUCCUAUGGACAGAAGCCUGUCCUGUUUUGCAAGUAUCAGGUGUAUUCCUGGAAGAUGACUAUUUCAGGUAUUUGGAGUAAUACUUGUUUAGGUAACAGGGCAGACAGCAGAGGUGGUUGAAGAAGAACAAUGCCUCUUCUGGGAACUGCAACCUCCUGCUGUUUGUCUGUUUCCCUUCUUAGCAUAGUAACUCAGAAGGUAGAGGGGCCAGCUCAGAUUCUCCUUCACAAGGACAUGCUGUAGAUGUCAGGCCCCACCACUAGUGCCUGCCUUGAAGGUCUUCAAGCAAGAAUCUGGUCAUAGACAUCCCCUUAAAGAAAAUCUAAUUUAAAUCCUCUGCUAUUGCUAAAUGAUGUGCCAGAAGAGAUUACCCAAAUAAACUAAUUUGCAAUGACUUGAAUGAAGUACACGUUCCCCUGGCAUUCUGCUUCCCACCAUAGCACGCCUAGGUGUGAUAUGCUAUUAAUCCCUUGGUAGCUCUAGAAGAAGAAGAUGGGCUGUAGUAUCUAAACCCUGGAUUCAAAUCUUGGCUCUGUCACCUGCUUUGGAAGGGU